rnacentral:rRNA from 1 species
UAAGGGCGCACGGUGGAUGCCUUGGCACUAGAAGCCGAUGAAGGACGUUACUAACGACGAUAUGCUUUGGGGAGCUGUAAGUAAGCUUUGAUCCAGAGAUUUCCGAAUGGGGAAACCCAGCAUGAGUUAUGUCAUGUUAUCGAUAUGUGAAUACAUAGCAUAUCAGAAGGCACACCCGGAGAACUGAAACAUCUUAGUACCCGGAGGAAGAGAAAGAAAAUUCGAUUCCCUUAGUAGCGGCGAGCGAAACGGGAAGAGCCCAAACCAACAAGCUUGCUUGUUGGGGUUGUAGGACACUCUAUACGGAGUUACAAAGGACGACAUUAGACGAAUCAUCUGGAA